rnacentral:lncRNA from 1 species
AAUCAGCUAUUUUUGCGUUAUAUAAAGCAGCUGAUGCAGUAGAUAAAGCAAUCAAUUUGAAAUAUAAGGAAAGUUUAGAAACAGAGGGAAGCGAAACUCUUAGUGCUGUAUCUAUUGCAAAUGAGAUUAUAGAAUUAAAAAAUGUAGUGUAUACAACACUUAAGAACAUUCAGGAUCUUGAAAAUAUAGCAAAAAUAGGAGCUGGUAUUACAGAAAAACCAAAAGAAAAUAAUAAUGAAAACGAUAUAAUCAAGGAUGAUAAUACAGAACAACAGCAUCUUAGAGGACUUGAACAAGAUGAUGAUAAACAUAAGAAACAUACUAGUUCUAAAAAAUCGGCUAUAUCUAUACAAAUUGAAAAGGCAGAACAAGAAGCUAAAAAGGUAAUUGAAACAGCCAAAAACAUAGAGGAUGAAUUACAUAAUGCACAUGAAGGAGAGAUGUAUGGUGACGCUGUUAAAGCAACAGAAGCAGCUAUUAGAGGUGACGCAUACUUAAAGAAAAUGAAUGAACACUUAAAAAAAGCAUUAUAUCAUGUAAAACUCGCUGAAAUAUAUAGCGAUUUAGUAGAUGAAGCACAUAAACAAGCAAAUGAAACUUUAACAUUUGCUAAUUUUACAAAAACAAUUGCUGUAAAUCUUGAAAGUGCGAUAGAAGGCAAAAUUGAUGACGCUAUUGAUUUAGUAAAAGAGUUUACUGAGAUUGCAAAAAAUGCCGCAAAUGAUAGCCAACUAGCUGCAGAAGCUGCUAAAGUUGCAUACAACGUUGAUGAUAUAUUUAUAUAUACACACAGUUCUAUACACGCAGCUAAUAAAGCUAUUACUGCUUAUACUAAAGUAGGCCAUAUUGCAAAAGCAGCUAUAAAACUAGUUAAAUUAUCUGUAAGUAAAGAAAUGGUUGAAAAAAUGAAAGAAUUAAUGGAAUUUGUAGUUACAGCUAAAGCAUAUAGAGAUGUGGCUAAAAAUUUUGCUAAACAUGCAAUACAAAUUGCAGAAACACAUAAAAUAAAACCGGACGUAGUUCUUAUAGAGAGCAGCGACAAUAAACAUAAUAUACAAAAAAAAAAAGAUGGUAAAAAUUCAGUACAUACCAAUAAUAGAAUGUUAGCGGAAAAAGAAGUUGAAGAAGAAGUUAAAGAAGAAGUUAAAGAAGAAGUUAAAGAAGAAGUUGAAGAAGCAGUUGAAGAAGAAGUUAAAGAAGAAGUUAAAGAAGUAGUUGAAGAAGAAGUUAAAGAAGCAGUUGAAGAAGAAGUUAAAGAAGUAGUUAAAGAAGAAGUUAAAGAAGCAGUUGAAGAAGAAGUUAAAGAAGAAGUUAAAGAAGAAGUUGAAGAAGAAGUUGAAGAAGCAGUUGAAGAAGCAGUUGAAGAAGAAGUUAAAG